CGUCCCGCAGCUGUGGAGCAUCAGGCUGGAAAUCCCCUCAUCCUCCGUCCUGGGCCUCUGAGUGUGGACUCAGGACCAUGAGUGUACAGUUUGCAGGGAGGUGUGUGAGUGUGUGUGUGUGUGAAGUUGGUCUGCCUGUUGAGCUUGGCUGACUGUGUGUGUAUUUAGGUGCUGGCUUUUGUGGUGUAUUUGUGACUGUUUUACUUUUCAGUGUUUGUAUGAGUGUAUGUUUCUGUGAGUGUGUGUGUGUCUGCUUGUUUGUGUGUGUGAAUUCUUUCAGCACAUGUGGGCCCGGCAUGUGGUUGUGUGUGGCCCGCCGAGAGGAGGCGUGUGGCAUGAAAUGUGUGUGUUCCAUGGAGGCCCCAAAAAAAAGUACAAAGCCGGUUUGUGUUAACUUUCAUAACAGUGUUAUCGUUUUCCACCUCCCUGGUGUGUGUGUGCGUGUGUAUCAGUGUGUGUGUGUGUGUGUGUGUGUGUGUGCGUGAAUAGGGAGUAGACUGAGAGAAAAUGAGGACACAGCCUGCUUGUACAAUAAACUUCUCCAACUUUCUUUUUCCUCUUACUUCUUUCCCUCCAUCAUCCGUAUCUUUCUGGAUUUCACCCGGACGCCCCCGCACACGAUCAUACACUGGUUCAAUGUUUACUCUUGGACCCCUCUCGCCUCCUAAUCCCUUUUUCCUCUUAGACUCCUAUUCCUUCACUUUUGCCCUCCUUUUUUUCCUCCUUUCCCUCCAAAAUUUAAAAACCUCCCCGGGAAAGUUUUUCACUCCCCUAAAGCGCAGACACCCCCACUUUCCCCUCAGCACUUUCACACAGAAACUCUCCGAACAGCAUAAUUCACCAUUUCUGUCCAGUUAGUGUGUUUCUUUGUCUCUUAGUCUCUUCUUUCACUGUUGCACAGAGAAGUGUCUGAAUGGUGGAGAGUGAAUGUUUAAGAGACGUGACCUGAGUCAGUCAAGUCUACUUUGAUGCAAAUUUAGAAAUGGUUUAAGUUGGGUGAACUCACUGGGUUUUUCCAACAAAACAGAGAACUUUUUCUCUCUGAAGAAACACAUCAUAACAGUUGGUACAUAAGAGAUGAUGCAAAAUAAAGUCCCUCUUUUUCGCACUGGGGACAUUUAAGGGGAGUAGGGCUGCACGAUUCAUCGAUUUUAAAUCCUAAUCCGAUUAUUUGAUUAUGACGCUUUUAAAAAAUUAAAAUCGCCAAAUUGAUUUUCCUCUCUAUCAUGUCUUGUGCCUCCAGGCCAUCGUAGGCUCCACCCUUCCUGCGGGAGCGCUCCCCAGUUUCCACACACACCAGUGUAAACAAACAUGGCGUUUGCAGAAGAAGGCGAUAAUUUCGUGGCUAAAUAGGACAAGAACAAGUCAGUAGUGUGGAAUUGGUACAGCUUCGCAUUUUCGGACAAAGAGCAAAUCACUCCCCGCUGCAAAGUCUGUCUGAAGGCGGUAUCAACCCGUCCACACGGAAACGAAUUCAGGAGUAAACACAAAAGUUUUUUGUCGGGUUUGUGUUUCAUCCGCAUGGAAACGGUAUUUCAGGUGACUGUUAACAGUACUUUUUGAAAACAGGUAAUUAAGUGCAUAAAUCGUAAACGACGACCAUUUCAUCUCCGUGUGGAUGCCUAUCUGGAUCUCUGAAAAUGAUCAUGUGACACACAGCGUAACUCUUUUAUGGGGCCUGCACGUGUCCGGCCAAAACAACCUUUAUACACAUGCUCUGUACUCUUCUUCUGUCUUUUGUGCAUUUCCUCAGCAGCGUUACAGCGCCACUUACUGGCUUGGCAUAUCAUUUUCAGUGGUUUCGUUUUGAGAGAUGACAGAAAAACCUUUUUGAAAGUGAAGUUUGGUGAAAUUGUCACUAAAUAAAUAAUCGAAAUCGAAUUUUCAGUUUUCUGAGAAAAAAAAAUCUGGAUUUUAUUUUUGGCCAAAAUCGUGCAGCCCUAAUAGGAAGACAUUGGGGUGAAAGUGCAGAUAUGUUUAUAAACUGGAACAACAGCCUCUUAUGACCUCACAGUCUUAAUGCUACAAAUGAACGUGAAAAUCUGAAUGAAUAAUAAAACUGAGACACUGAGGCCCGAUGGCUCCACUGGCUAUUCUCUCAUCUGUGCCUGCAAACUGUCAUAUUUCCUGACUCUUACUGAACAAAUAGAAGCAAGAUAAUCUCCUGCAUAGAGUUUGUUUUCAUAUAUCUUUAAAAUAUGUUUGCUAUUGAAAAUAAAUGACCCAUUUUAGAGAUUUGACCAAUCAAAAUCAAGCAUUGAACUCCGUCUACAUAAAUCAUAAGAAUAGAUGAGUAAUAAAUCCGAGUAAACAACACUUCUUAGUAAUAUACUGUAUGAAUGUAAACCCCAAAAUCCUUGAGAGACCCUCCUCUUUAUACGCUUCUAAAUAUAGAUUGGAGGCGGUAAUAGGAGCUUUUUUUCCUGUUGUGCUUGGAAUUGAUUUAUAUUUCUUGUUUUGUUUGUUUGGUUUUCAGGCGGGGGGAUCUUCCCACGAUCUAUCUGGGAUGGAGCCAGGAAGACGGAGAACCACGUCAGUCGCAGAGGGAAGACAAGUGUCGCCCUUCACCCCUAAUCCCACCCACACACACACACACAACCAUAACUGAGCACACUCAAAGACAAACACUUGUAAAUCCUUUUGACACUGACAGUAAGCCGAUGGCUUCACACGUUCAUCUCUGAGCUGAGUGCUAACUGGCUCUGACUCAUCACCCCCUCACCCUGACACACAACCAUAACUAGUGAUAUCAUACUGAUAUUUAAAAAGGGUUGAGGACAUGCCAAGUCCAAUAAAAACAAAUGAUGCAAUAGAGGGAACAAUGAGCAACAAAAUCCAAACUAUAGACCGCAAACUGACAAUGAAGUGAC
rnacentral:lncRNA from 1 species